GGCGUGUGGGCUCGGGGCCGAGGGGGAGGGGACGGGAUGCCGGGGACCGUGGGCCUGGACUGCAGUGGCCAGGGACGUGCGACUGCUGCAGGAUGAAACGGGAGGACAGGGGUGGGAGGAAGGGGACAGGAGCCAGCCCCCCCCUUCCGCCUUCUUUCCAGGACUGCGGGCGGCAAGGCCGGGGAUCUUGAACUGUCGCUAGUGACAGGAGCCGCUGAAGAGACCAGGAGGGACCCUGCCCAGCCCCCACUUCCAGGCCCGCUCCUGGCUCCGGGGUUCCCUGGGCCUGGGCUGGACACCAGGCGGUGGGACCUGCAGGGCUGGAGGUCCCUGCGCUUAAGGUCACGCUGUCCCGCCGCCCCAGUAGCCAGGAGCCCUGAUCCUUGGAGCGGACAAACCGGUCCCUUACACACAAGCAGUUCCCACAGGCCGGGGCCCAGGUUAGGCAGCCUCCCUGUUGGGGCUGGGCAGGCGGAGGCCCAGUGGGAACCUGAGGGCUGCUCAGCCAGCCCAGCAGACAGAGCUCCUUUCACUGCGCCGCGGGCGGGGACCGGGACGUGCGGGCGGAAGUCCCACCCUGCGCGGGGACGUGCAGGCCGGCCCGGGAGUCAGGGACGCCCCUAAACUGUGCUCCUCCCCAGGGGCAGGGGCGAGGAGACUAGAACCCUUCUCAAUACGUGUGAGAGGCCUGCCCUAUCAUUCUGACUGUGAAGGAAAUCACCAAGAACAGCUGCUCUUCAGUGAGUAGGAUCACAUGCCCACCAUGUUAGCAAGGAAUCUUUACUGUUCCCAGGAACACAGAAGAGGAAACAGGCACAGAGAGGUCAAGUUAUCUCUGAAGACCACACAGCUAGAGAGGAUAGCUGGGCUGGAGGUGUGAUUCAGUUGGAGGGUGCAACAGACUAACAAGCAGAACUGGAUAGAAAGAGUUGUCUGUUUCCUAAGCCUGUGCUCUGACUGACAAAUAUGCCCGUGGUCCCAAGAAACUUACUUCAUGAUGGUGUGGAAAGGCUCUUCCUCCACUCCACCGUCAGGGUCCGACAGGCGGCUGAUGAUGUCAGGGAGGAGAUUGUAUACUGCAUUGCUCUGUAAGGGAGAGGGAAGUAAUGGAGAGGUCACCAGCCAGGUGACCUUGCUAUACUCCUGCGUGGGGCGCAAGCCGCCUGCCUGCCCACCCUCUCACCUUGUGGGAGAGCUCAUUGAAGAAGUUCCUGGCCAGCGCAGCAAUCUGAGGCUCAGGGUCCACAAGCAGCACGGCCAUCUCGCUCACCUGCCCCUUGACCUUCACCAUGUCCUUCAGGAUCAGGUGGGUCAUCACCAGCCCUGCUGUCUUCCGAACUUGCUUAGCUGGAUCCCGGAGGCUAGAAAUGAAAGCUCAAGUUCCUGCUAUCCAGAGCUGAGCCACGCCCUAGAAUUGGUAGGAUGGGGCCUGGCAGGGAUCCCCAGGUGCAGGGAGGGUGCUGUCCAGAGUUGAAAGGUGAGGUGGUGAAGCUUCUGUUUUCCUGGGUAACACUGGGCCAGGGCCUGGACAGGUCACAUCAAGCAGACAUUGACAGUGAUGCCUGGACUUAACUCAACUUUCUUCUUUUUUGGUACCAGGGAUCGAACUCACAGCUGCACACUUGCAAGCAGGCACUCGUGCUGCUGAGCUACAUCCCCAGCCCUGAGACUCACCACUUUCACACUGACCUCAGCACCUGGAGCAAGCGUGAGGGGUCCUUACCGAGCGUACAGAUGGGGUGUCCAGGGGUCCACCAGGUUGGGGAAGCGGAUGGCCAGAUCCCCAGUGGCAACCAUGAGGUUGGAGCGGACAGUGGGGAGUGGUGACUUCUCUAGCAUGGUGAACAGAAGACGAAGGUGCGAGUCACAGAAAGUGGCACUGGAGGGAAAGAGAGGCUCAUCAGGGAAGCUGUCACCCUCGCCCCAUAGGAGGUGGCGCUGUGCAUAGGCCUACCUGAUCAUGCAGAACUUGCCAAGGGCCAGUGAGGCAGCCGCGCAGAGGUCUUCGUUGCUGUACAGCCCGGGGUUGUUGCAAACUUUAAGCAAAAGUGGAAUAAAGGCAGCCAGUAACUGUUGGCCUGUUGGAAGAACAACUCUGUGUUUGAGGCAGGUAAUCCUGUUUGGGGAGCUCACCUAGCAAUUGCUUCUUUCUUUUUUUCUUUUUGGUACUGGUGACCGAACUCAUGACUUUGCACUUGCCAAGCAGGCACUUGGGUUUCUUUUUCAUUUGUCCACAGCAACUGUUCUUACCGUCCAGCAGUUCCAGCUCACAGAUGCCACGGAUGAGCUCUGCCUCUGUGUCAUCUGCAGUGGCCCCAGUCAGCCCCAGUUCCUCCUCCAUGGUGGUCUCAGAGCCUGAGGUCUAAGGGAGAAGACGCAAACCUUUCUUUUGUAGGAACGGUUCUGAAGAAAUGCAGUAUACCGAAGCAUUCAGAAACUUGUCCAAAGGACUGAAAACAACGAAGUCCUCAGUGGACACACGUGUUAUCUCAGCUACUCAGUGGCCUCAGGGAAGAGGAUCACAGUUUUGAGCCCAGCAUGGGCAGUGUAGUAAGAACUUGUCUUGGAGUACAACAGGCCAAAGGAUCUGGCUCAAAGGUAUAGCACUUGCCUGCCAUGCAUUAGGUCGUGGGUUUGAACUCCAUACUACCGAAAAAAGAAUUCCUAAAUGAGCAGGGAAAUAACUAGGUUUUCUAAAUUUGUUUUCAGUUGCCAAAGUAGGUGUCUCUAUUUCUCUUAAUUUAUCCUCAGAGGGCAAAACAUACCAUAUGUCAUAAACAGACAAGAUUACAACCAAUGGCUCAAGGUCAGUGGAGGGUCAGAUUUUAGCCACUUGUGUGUGGCUUUAUGGCCUAUUUGUCUGCAAGACAUGUUUCUGGCCAGGUGCCUGGCCAAUAGCAAAGGCUGGUGGGAGGCAGGAGUGUUCCACAUCUAAUGCUGUCUUAGCACCUGUGUCUUGUGUCUGUUCUGAGCUGCCUAGCUCUGUAGUCUGUUUUCCUAAAAUUCUUCCCUGAGUGAGCACAGACAGACUGUCCCAUUCCUGAUUCUAUCAGUCUCCCCCAGUGUAGCAGCAGCAAAGAGGCGGAGACCCCCGGCUGACAGUCUCUGACCGAGGUUCUGGUUCUGAAACAAAUCCUGAGGACCUGGGCCGUGACCCCGGCCCCUGUGUACACCCCGCACCUUUUCCUUGGGCUCUUUGGUCUUGUGCUCCUGUUCCUCCUGAAGGACUCGGCGCCGACAGAGCUCUCCGCUCACUGCCUGCUCCAGAUGUACCAGCUGCUGCAGGGCCACGUCCCCGGCCAGCGACAGGAGGUGCAUCAGGAGGAAGGUGGGAAGCACUGGCACCGUCUGCCCUGGUGGAGGGGAGGGAGGAAGGAGGGACAGGGUCAGUCCUCUCACUCUACGGAGCUCCCCUUGCUCCUGUGGCCUCCAGCUGGUGAAGGGGGCAGGGCACUGGCUCAACUUCAACUUGGACAAAACUGAGGUGAUGGGCUGAGGGGCUGUAGAAAGUGCUAGUGGCAGUGGCUUCUGGCAUGGCCUAGCAGCCCAGUCCACUUACUGAGGUCCUCCUGACUGGAGCUUUUCUCCUCCAGCUUCUCCAGAGCCUGCUUGGCACAGCUCUGUAACAUCUGGGCACAGAGCACCUCGGGGCCCUCUGCCAGCUGGUAGAUGAGUGUCACUGCUGCCUCCUUGAAUGGGAUCCACAGUGGGUCCGGGUGGGCAAAGCCUACACAGGAGGGGAAAACUGCUCACCACAGGGCGGCCCCAUCCUGGCCUGCCCCAGGCCCUUUUGGAUAGCUCACCUGCUGUGACCAUGUCCCGAAGUCUCUCGAAUAACACAUGUUCCUGAGGCAGCCUGAAGGGAGGGUGGCAUUUGCCCAAGGAAGGCUGUGGAGAAAGACCAAGGAAGACCGUGUGGGGUGUAGGGUGGGAGGACCCCUGCCCCUGGGCUGGCCGGUGGCCAUGCUGCCUACCUUCCUCCUGUCAGAGAUGUUGGCGAUGGCCUGGCACACCUGCUGGGCCAGCCUGUAGUCCGGUGGAGACGUCCUGUCCAGUCCUAUGCUCACCAGCGUGUCUAAGUUGCUUCCCACAAUUUCUGGUUUUCCUCUAGGGAAAGGAAGCCACAGUCAAGGCAGUCCUGGAUGCCACUCUGGGAAGACAGUGCCACUGUGGGGUUUCCCAAGCCGGCAAUACUGUGGGACGCCCUGCCACAUGGCCAGCCCUACCCGAGCCUUACUUACCGCGCCAUCAUGCCAAGAAGCAUAACAGAGGAACAGCGCUCCAGAGCAGAGCAGGGGACCUUCUUGGUGGCCUGCUCCCAUAGCACCUGGGUCACUGCUGGUUUUAACUCAUCCUUUUGAACAAACUCACAAAGCUGAGGAAAAAAGAAAAAGAGGUCAGCUCAGAAAACAGUGUUGUUGGUCUACUUCUUCAGACACUGGAGAACCUGGAGAAAAUAAAAAUAAUAUUCAGAACUGAAAAGAAAGAAGCCCAACUUGUAAGGUUGUGUCGAAGAGGUGUCUCUCUUUCCCCUUUUUCUUCUUCUUCUCUCUCUUUCCUUCCACCCUUCCUUUCUUCCUUCCCAGAUGGCAGAGGAUGUUGGGACCUCAACUGCUACCUCUUUCACUUCCUGGUGGCCAUGAGGUGAGCAUGCCCACGUGCUCCCCACCAUGACGUGCUGCCUCAUUACAACCCCAAAACCAACUGACCAUGGACCGAAACCUCUCAAACAAUGGACGAUAUAACCUUUUCCUUCCAUUCUCUGACUUUGUCUUUAAAACUACACUAGCUAAAGUGACACAUCGAAACUGACCUUCCUGAGUUGUUUAUAGAACUAAAAUAUCCCCCGGCAUCUCACUUUCAGAAGUAGGGUUCUUGGAAGGUAUCUGCAUCAUGGAGGUGCUGUACUCACUCACUGAUUUCUUUUUUUUUUUUUUUUUCUAAAAGGAAGAAAGCUUUAUUGUGGCUCAGUUUGCAGGGUUUCAGUCCAUGGCCAGAGGGCACCAAGAAAGGGUGUCAUGGCAGAGAAGCCCAGCAGUCAGGAAGCAGAGCUCACCCACUAAUGAUUUCAUGGCUUCACGCGCAGUUUGGAGCCGGGCCUCAGGGAAGAGGCAGGUGUCUGGGGGUGACAUGGAAGGGCCUGUGCUUUCCUUCCAGCUCCUCCUCUCUGCUUUCUUGCCUGCCUGGCCACCACAUGGUGAGCAGAUUUCCUCGGCCAUACCUUUCCCGCACUGGAGCCGGCAGCCAAGGACUGAACCCAUUAUUAAAGCUGAACCAAAUAAACUUUUCCUUGAAAUUA